GGGCGAUCCGGGCGACCGGCGACACGAUGUCGUUGAUGUUGCCGGCGCCGAGCUGGAGCAGGGCGGCCGGCCGGCCCGGUUCGAUGCCGAGGGCCUCCCG
rnacentral:tRNA from 1 species